rnacentral:lncRNA from 7 species
AAAAGCAGAUGUGUGGGCUGUGAGGAAGCCUAACGGUCAUCUGUGCGCGCGGCUGCGGCUCGCCUGCCGGUCAGCGCUCCUCACAACGGGGCUGUGGGAAAAAGUAGAAUUAAAGGUGUUUUUCUCUCUCAAAUGUUUGUGAGUGAUCCUCGUCCCAGGAGUUGAGCUUUCCUUGUGACAAACACGAGCCAGUGCAGCCAAGAGGCAGUUCUCUGAGGCGAUGCAGCAGUCUCAGACGUGCAUGUUUGCCCCCUUUGCUUCUUUUUGGUCACAAGAACACUACUUCAAGAAACCGUUUUUGAUCCUAAACUAUCACGUCGAGCUAGGACUGCAGGACACAGCCAGACACCGUGAAACAGGACCGCACUCCAGCCCUGCAAAGACAACGUGGCCCGGGGUUAGGCACCCAGCAGGAGGAUCCAGCUUGACAUUUGAAAGAAUAGAAUGCAUGCAAAGAAACUGGUUUCUAAAUUGCAAGAUUACCAAUGAUGUUAAAUACAUCUCGUCAUUUGUUAUUGAAGAGGCUGAAAAAACUAUAUGUACCCACACGAAGAUACAUGCUUUGUUCUUAGCAUACAGAAAACUUGUACAAAAGGCAAAAAGUAAAGAUGAUUAAGUUGUGGUCUACAGAGUUCAGCUUCAACAGAGUUGGCAAGUAGUCAAAGAAGAAAAUUGUUCUAUUUUAUUCAAAUAAGUUUAAUCAAUUUAAAUGUUAAGGAAGAACAGAUGUCUAACUAGUAGCUUAGAAAGCAAUAUAAUCUUGUGUUUAACUCCUGGAGCGGUGAUAAAGCCAAACAACUAACAGCUUGAAACCUGUAGAAAAUGUGGGUGUAAUUUUAAAACUGUGCAAUUCUUAACCUUUAUCUAAUGAAGCCUAUAAGAUUAAGUGCAAAAAAUGUUUAUUGCUAACUAAUGCUUGUUAUGAUCUGCCUCCUAGUUUGACUCCAGGAAAUUAACCACAUUUUGGCAAAUAAAAUUAAGUUGUCC